AUUGAACGCUGGCGGCAGGCCUAACACAUGCAAGUCGAACGGUAGCACAGAGAGCUUGCUCUCGGGUGACGAGUGGCGGACGGGUGAGUAACGUCUGGGAAACUGCCCGAUGGAGGGGGAUAACUACUGGAAACGGUAGCUAAUACCGCAUAACGUCGCAAGACCAAAGUGGGGGACCUUCGGGCCUCACACCAUCGGAUGUGCCCAGAUGGGAUUAGCUAGUAGGUGGGGUAAUGGCUCACCUAGGCGACGAUACCUAGCUGGUCUGAGAGGAUGACCAGCCACACUGGAACGGAGACACGGUCCAGACUCCUACGGGAGGCAGCAGUGGGGAAUAUUGCACAAUGGGCGCAAGCCUGAUGCAGCCAUGCCGCGUGUAUGAAGAAGGCCUUCGGGUUGUAAGUACUUUCAGCGGGGAGGAAGGCGGUGAAGUUAAUAACUUCACCGAUUGACGUUACCCGCAGAAGAAGCACCGGCUAACUCCGUGCCAGCCGCCGCCGUAA
rnacentral:rRNA from 1 species